rnacentral:lncRNA from 1 species
CAUGUAUCCAUAACUGUGAGUCCACAUUAAUGUUCUGCCAGAGCCUGGCAUCAGCCUCUGCAUAGACAAUCACAAGCCAAUAGAGAGGGAAUGGAAACAGCACUCUAUUGAUCUUGGCUUAUUUAUUCAUAAACUAGGAAAGCAGUUGAACAGCUAUGCGAGAAGCCUACUUUCUCUUCAUGUAACACGUUGGCCUAAGAGAUCUAUAGAGCUUUUUAAAAACAAAGAAGGCAGCAAGAUUUAAAAUAAUAAAACCAGCAAUAGGUAUUUUUAAAAGUGAGAGAAACUAUCAGAGAGCUGUAGCAGAAAAGCAAGUUAAAAAUAAAGGAAACAGAAAAGGAACUGAUACAGCUGAUUUGAUACUGGAAAAAUCACCCAGGAGGCAGCGUGGACAAUGGAUUGGAGAAGGGCGAACAUUCAGUCAGAGACUUUGCUUACUGUAAAUUAGAGGGAGCAAAUUGGAGGAGAAAUGACAAAAGAAACAGAAAAAAUGUUUAAUCAGACAAAGGAACUAAAAAACCUCAGUCUUAAUUAGAAGAUGGUCAAACAAAUCUCUUAACUGAUGUUCACAAUGAUGGUUUCAAGUCAUCUAAGGAAUGGGAGAAAAUACAACUGGUGAAUUGCAAAGAUAUUAAGAAAUUUUUUUCAUGACCUCCAAAGAAUAAAAUUAUAAAACUUAUUCUUACCUUUUUGUUUCCUGUAAACGUGUGGUAUAUUCCCCUUGUCCCUCACGACAAACUUCUCUAUGAUUUCCUCAAUGGUUAAGGCCCCAAAUGAUACAUUAAAAAAUAUACAUUUGUUUUAUAUUUUCAAAGUAUUCUUAAUCUUUAAUUAGGAACUACACUGAAACUCUGUUGUCAAUGCCCCUACGAAGACUGAAAGAGAUGUGAUGGUUUUAAGACUGGUGCCUAUGGUCAAAAGAAUAUACUGACUGCUUCCAAAUGUCUAUAAAUAAAUUAUGGUUUCUUAAAGGCCCAUGAAAUGAAACUUUAUUUCUUGUCAUUAGUUAUCUAAUUUCUUAAAGGUUAUCUUUGUUAGGAAUGGAAUCAAUUUAAUGAUUUAAAUAUUUUUCAAACAUUUUAUAACACAUUUUUA